rnacentral:misc_RNA from 1 species
GCUCGAGCAAGCCUGAUGAGGCGCUUCGGCGCCGAAACACCGUGUC